rnacentral:rRNA from 1 species
ACGGGUGCGUAACGCGUAUGCAACUUGCCUUACAGAGGGGGAUAACCCGUUGAAAGACGGACUAAAACCGCAUACACUUGUAUUAUUGCAUGAUAUUACAAGGAAAUAUUUAUAGCUGUAAGAUAGGCAUGCGUCCCAUUAGCUGGUUGGUGAGGUAACGGCUCACCAAGGCGACGAUGGGUAGGGGAACUGAGAGGUUUAUCCCCCACACUGGUACUGAGACACGGACCAGACUCCUACGGGAGGCAGCAGUGAGGAAUAUUGGUCAAUGGGCGAGAGCCUGAACCAGCCAAGUCGCGUGAAGGAAGACAGUCCUAAGGAUUGUAAACUUCUUUUAUACGGGAAUAACGGGCGAUACGAGUAUUGCAUUGAAUGUACCGUAAGAAUAAGCAUCGGCUAACUCCGUGCCAGCAGCCGCGGUAAUACGGAGGAUGCGAGCGUUAUCCGGAUUUAUUGGGUUUAAAGGGUGCGUAGGUUGUUCGGUAAGUCAGCGGUGAAACCUGAGCGCUCAACGUUCAGCCUGCCGUUGAAACUGCCGGGCUUGAGUUCAGUGGCGGCAGGCGGAAUUCGUGGUGUAGCGGUGAAAUGCAUAGAUAUCACGAGGAACUCCGAUUGCGAAGGCAGCUUGCCAUACUGCGACUGACACUGAAGCACGAAGGCGUGGGUAUCAAACAGGAUUAGAUACCCUGGUAGUCCA